rnacentral:lncRNA from 1 species
UCUUUAAAGAAUAAGGACAAGCGUUGGAUGUGUUGUGUGCAGACGAGAGAAAAAUUUAAAGCAUUUUUAAAAACCCAAGGUGACAACGUAGUGACGGAAAUUCGGGAUGAACACAACCAUAGCGAAUUAAACGAAGAUGCACUUAACCGUCAAAUGUUAAGUAACUCCUUAAAACGAAAGGCCGUAGAAACAUCGGUGAAAGACCUAUGAAAAUUUUGCAAAAAGAAUUACGAAAUGAAGAUAUUAGUACCUUGACUACCAAAGACGUGGCACUGGUUCGAAAAAAUAUGUAUAACGCCCGACGAUCUCUUCUGCCUAAAUUACCAAAAAGUAUGGAGAAAACUCAUGAUGUAUUAAAAACAUUUCCAGUGAAAACCAACAAAAACGAGGAUUUUCUAAUGGUGAACGACAUAGAAAACCAAAUUAUUGUGUUUUCCUGUAGCAGCAAUUUAGAAUUUUUAGCAGAUUUGGACACCAUUUAUAUAGAUGGAACUUUUGAAUAUUGCCCAAAGUUUUUUAAGCAAAUGUUCUCCAUCCAUGGUCUAAAAGAAGAUCAUUAUAUACCUUUGGUUUUCUUCUUAUUGCCAAAUAAACAAAAACAUACAUAUACACUGGCACUUAUAUACCCAACAGAACAAGUUGGGAAAUGCAAUAAAAAACUCGCUUGAAGAACGGUAUUUGCAGAUUUUGAAGAAGCAAUUCAGCAAAGUGUCACUGAAGUUUGGACUAAUGUUUCAUUGAAGGGCUGCCGAUUCCAUUUAGGACAAUCCUGGUGGCGCGAAAUUCAGGCACUAGGUUUAACAUCCUUAUACAAAGACAAAGAGAGUGAUGUAAGAAAAUAUUUAACAUACUGAUUUGGAAUGCCAUUUCUCAACCCAGGAGAUGUAGGAGAUUGUUUUGUUAAAGCUUUAUCAUCAAUACAGCCACAAAAUCAUAGAAUAGUAGAAUUUGCGGACUAUUUGGUCGAUGAUUAUGUCUCAGAAUCGGCUAAGUUUCCGCCAGAAAUAUGGGCGGAGAUGUCAAGCAGUUUACAACGGACGACGAACGCAUGUGAGAGUUUUCAUUCCAGGUUUAACUCGUCAUUUUAUUUUGCUCAUCCUCAUAUUUUUCAAUUUUUAACAGUUUUAAUAGACUUUCAAAGUGAAACGUAUGUUAAAAUUAGAAGUGCACAAAAAAA